rnacentral:lncRNA from 1 species
GUGCUAACAAAGGAGUUGUCUCUACUUCAGUACCUUUAUCGAUAAUCAAUCAUGGUAUGGAUAAGUAUAUAAGAUACAAAUCUGAAAUUUUUGAAAGGUUCAAAGAAUUCAGAUGUAAAGUAGAGAAAUAAAUCGAAAAAUUUUUAAAGGUACUUCGAUCGGAUCGACGAUGCAAUACCAAAAAAAAAUUUUUGAUUAUCUCAUACAAUGGUAUAGUUUCAUAUUGGACUCCUCUUAGUACAUCUCAGCUCAAUG